CCUACGGGAGGCAGCAGUGAGGAAUAUUGGUCAAUGGGCGGGAGCCUGAACCAGCCAAGUCGCGUGAGGGAAGACGGUCCUAUGGAUUGUAAACCUCUUUAGGCGGGGAGCAAUGCCGGGCACGUGUGCCCGGAGGGAGAGUACCCGCAGAAUAAGCAUCGGCUAACUCCGUGCCAGCAGCCGCGGUAAUACGGAGGAUGCGAGCUUUAUCCGGAUUGAUUGGGUUUAAAGGGUGCGUAGGCGGAUUUUUAAGUCAGCGGUAAAAUGUCCGGGCUCAACCCGGGCCGGCCGUUGAAACUGGGGAUCUUGAGUGGGCGAGAAGUAUGCGGAAUGCGUGGUGUAGCGGUGAAAUGCAUAGAUAUCACGCAGAACUCCGAUUGCGAAGGCAGCAUACCGGCGCCCGACUGACGCUGAGGCACGAAAGCGUGGGGAUCGAACAGGAUUAGAUACCCCAGUAGUC
rnacentral:rRNA from 1 species